AAAAUUCAAGGACUUUCUUGACGUAUAUAAAGUUCAUACUCGUUGCCCUUUUUUUUGCCACACAGGAACACAAGGAUGGCAACCCAGAAGGACUGGAAGAAGCUGCCUUGAUGAUCAUGGUUUUGUGCCCAGCUACCCAGAUGCCAGCAGGCCCUCAGAUGACAAUGUCGCUGAGUCCUGUGGAGCUGGCGAGGAAGGAUUUCUGCGUUCAGAACGGCAGCAAGCAUAUUCUAACCAAGCCUCAGAGCCAUACAGGUGCCAAGUGCUGGACAUCUGAAGACUUGCAGAGACUCCACAGCAAGCAAAGAAGGAAAUCCAACUGUUGUAGAAGCACAGGACACAGCCUGCCUUGAACAGGGUUUUCCAAAUCACAGAGCUCCAGAGAGACUUGCAUGAGCCGCACGGCAAAGAGCCUAAGACACAGAAGCACAGUUACUAAAUUAGCUCUGCUUUCGGUAACACCCCUUUCGAUUAAAAAUCAUUACAUACAAUGGAAGUAGAUGUUGCCUUAAAAAAAAUGAUCAGGUAUAGCAGGUAAGCUAUUCAAAAUUAUUUCCAUGUCCAUGGCGCGCAAUAAAUGAAAGUGCUAAGUAAAUUAAUGUUUGGUG
ensembl:lncRNA